UGCAGUUCUCAGGUGAUGCACCCGGAACCAGAGAGGAGGAAGCCCGAUUCUGGGGUGCAUCACCUGAGAACCGCC
rfam:Myotis brandtii contig324770, whole genome shotgun sequence.